rnacentral:rRNA from 1 species
CAAGUCUUGACAUCCCACUGACGUACCAGUAAUGUGGUAUUUCCUUCGGGACAGUGGUGACAGGUGGUGCAUGGUUGUCGUCAGCUCGUGUCGUGAGAUGUUGGGUUAAGUCCCGCAACGAGCGCAACCCUUAUCCUUAGUAGCCAGCAGGUGAAGCUGGGCACUCUAGGGAGACUGCCAGGGAUAACCUGGAGGAAGGUGGGGAUGACGUCAAAUCAUCAUGCCCCUUAUGACUUGGGCUACACACGUGCUACAAUGGCGUAAACAAAGUGAAGCGAAACCGUGAGGUCAAGCAAAUCACAAAAAUAACGUCUCAGUUCGGAUUGUAGUCUGCAACUCGACUACAUGAAGCUGGAAUCGCUAGUAAUCGCAGAUCAGAAU